GCCCAUCGGCCAGCGCAGCCCAACACCAUCGGGCCCAACCUACUCCCGCUAUCCAUCGAUCCCAUCGUCUCCCUCCAGCGCUGCCCCCCACGCCGGCCUCAACCCUCACCUUCCUCCGCACCGCAGGAGCCCGCCGCCAUGGACGCCUCUGCCUCACGCUACCCACCGGAUCUGGUUCUCCAGGGCGGGAUCCGCCCGUUCCCGGCCUUCACUCACCCGCUCGCCAACCGCCGGAGUCCCAAGUCCCGCCGGCGCCGUGACCCGCCGCCAGGAGCUCGUGUUCAAGCCGCGACGACUGCCUCCUCCGCACAGCACCCCGCGCGUCCAAAUCCCUCCUCCUCCUCUGGUUUUACGAGACCUUGCGGCAUUGUUUUUGCCACCGUUCCUUUCUUUGGUCGAUUCGUGUACGCCUCAUCCUCCUGACCUCUGUUUGAGGUUUAUAGUUUGGUUCCUUGUUGAAAUCAUUAGUUUGUACCUAUAUGAACUGGUUAGAUUGAGCGUAAAUUCAUGAUGUGGGAUUAUUGCUGGUCGAACCGUACGGGGAAAGAUCAAGACGAAGGGAUGAAAAAAAGUCACGUUUGUUUCUGUUACCCAUUUUUUUUUAUGCUCUCAGGAACAGGCCAUUAGCCCUCGAUGUGGCCCAGGGAGUUUGGCGGGGAAGGGAGCAGGUGCGAUCGUUCGUUGCACCCGCGUGGUUCCUCCAAUUAGUACCACCUCGUGUAUCUCUACUCCUAAUGGAGCAGUUGGUAAAUAGUCCGCGCGGUUUAUUUUUGCUGGUUUAUUUUCGUCAUCCUCCAACCACCGUUUUUUCGUCAUCAUCCCAUCUGUGCCAAAAAACCUUUGCCAAAAAUUGGAAGAAGAACGAACAGAAAAAACCGGACGAAGCGGGAGCGAGCCCCCUCGCAGGAACAAGAGAUCCAGGCCCCCUCCCACGAGCAAAAAACCGGAGGAGGCUGCCCUCAAUCUAAUCGCUACAGCGAUGGGAACCACGCCCCAGCCGCCAUCGCCGAUCUAUUCGCUACGUGGAGGAUCCCUUUGCCGGCGCCGAGGUGCCAGAGAAGCCGCCGCCGAGUUGUUAGAGGAGCCGCCGCCGCCGUGGGGCCGCCGCAGCCGAGGUCCUCCAUCGCCACCCCGGCCCCGGCCAUCCAGGUGCCGCCGACCCACCCACGCCGCCGCCCCGCGCGCGUGGUCUGCCCCUCCUCGCCUCCAUGCGGCUGCCGCCCACGCACGCCAUCUGCCCCUGCAAACCUCCACGUGUCGCCGAUGAGUUCGUCGUUGCCGAUGGGAUCGCCGCAAGGUGAGUUGAAUCAACCUAGCACAGAACGCGGUGAUUGGGAGAUGGGAUCUUCUGUUGCCCGGGGAUGUACAUCUGAUUUUAAGAAUAUUAUCUGAGUCCUGCGUCCCUUUAGCCUCCUCCCCUCCAACGUCUAUGGCUCUGUGAUGUGCCGUGUUAGUUACCCAUUUACACCGUCUUUUUUUCCCGAGAUUGAUGCGGUGUUUGUUCUCCGUAUCGUGCAUGAGGAGGGAGAAGCACAGGGAGAAAGGGGACCAUGGGCGAUGCUAUUGUGCACUGAUAUGUGAGAGGAUGGAUAUCUAAUAAUCACUUCAUUUUUCCUGUUAAACAAAAUCAGCCAACCAUAUUUAACAAAAUCCCAAUACUAAUUGUUGCAUGAUUUGGAUUAAUUAUCAGUGGUCUGGCAUUUUGUAUGCCUACAGAUUGUUCCUUUUUGGGUUGCACCUUCAUUGUAGAUGAUACGAGGUACGUGUUUUAUCUUUCUCUCUCAGUUUUGAACAAUGGGCAGGUUUGAAAAUAAUGUUCUGUCAGUCAAAUUUGUUGGCAUGAGCAUGAGGCACAUCCAUAGCAAUGAUUUGGAUCUGUCAUUGGUCGUCAACUGAAAUAGUCACUAGGCUCCCUUGUGUAGUUUCAAGUAGUCAGAGGGCCCUUUGUAUACUCAAUAAUGUUUACGUUGCAAUAAUUGGUCAAAAAUGGACCUGGAUGUUACACACAAGUAGGAAUAUAUAUUUACCAAAUAUGACCUCAGCUUGUAAACAGUUGAAAAGGGAGCAAUGGCAGCGUCUAAUAUUAGGUUUCCUCCCUUGAGCUUGAUAUACAUUGUUAGUAUAUAUACUCAUGUGUGUUUUCUCCUGCAGAUUGGUAGACUAAUAUAUGUCCAACCAGUGAAAGAAAAUAACAUAAAUGAAUUCUGAGCUUUCUUGCAAUAUUCACCCGCUUGCCGUUGUUUCGUAUAUGUACAUAUAAAAUCAGGUGUUACAAAAGAAGGUUGAUGAAGAUUAUAUUAUCUAAUCAGCAACUGAUCUGGUACAAUAAAGAAGCAGCAAAUGAGCUAGAAAAAAUCAGUCUGGAGAUGAAUAAAUCCGGCAUCUUGAUGUUUCAUAUCUAUUGGUUCCUUGUUUGGCAGCCUAUGUUGGUAGAUGUGAGAGCUCCAAAUAUGGAAGCAGCCAGCGUGCGAAAGAUUAAAGGAUGCAUUGCUACAGUGAAAACAUUCAGUGGGCGACCAACAACCAGAAUGUCAUUGCUUUUAUCAUGGCAUCCAACACUUGCAGAUGUGACAUAAAAGGGGGUUCUGAAGCUGAUGAACUUGGAUGGCCUGACAGUCUACCAUACCAACGACCAUCUCCAAGUACACGAACUUGAAAACUUUCUAAGAUUCGUACACACCUUCAGGUAAAGAUCAGAAAGCGGACAACGUUUCUAUUAUGUUUCAGGAAAAAUUUGGAUCUUUUUGGUCGGUUAUUGCAACCAUCUGUCUGAAUGAGUAUAAAAACAAUGCUAUGAGGUAAUGCAAGCAUGAGGGUGCCUCUUUUCACAAUAUGCGAACAUAUGGGCUAUUCGAGGCUUUAUGUUGUUUUUCAAUCUAAGGCACGUGAAACUUUACUGUGUCGUUAUUUAACAUACCAAUAUCAUUGCUUCCUCCAAAUCCAUAUAUUUUUCAUUUCUUCAUUCAUGUGUGUAUAGGACAAAGAGGAGAUAAAAGGAGUAUUGGAAAGCUUAAAACCAGCCCCCCGAAACCACUCUGCCUGGAGAAAGAAGACAAUAUCUGGCAUGAUCCGAUCAAUCAGUGAUAGAUCAAAUAGCUUAUUCCGCAUUGUCAUACACAAUGCGGUAUAAUUAGAAAAAUACACAAUGCCAUCUUUUCCUGUGAGCCCGAGUCCAUUAUCUUGCCCUGUGGCAAAGAAAUAUAUUUCAAGUUUCUUGGGUGCGUCUGUUAGCUGCUAAGGUGGAUUUAAUUAGGUAGCUUAUUGAUCUCAAGAACUCUUCAAUCUCAUAUGGCUGUCGCCCUUUCCAGCCGACAUAGAAAGAAAAACUCAAUGGUGAUCCGAACAUCUAGAGCCACUUCUAAUCUAUGGGAGCUCAAUUCUAUUUUUUAACAAGAAUGUGAGUUUGGAUGCAGUCUUCAGAUGAAUCAAGCCUGAGAUCCAUAGGCGUCGUUGGCUAAUUAGCUGUUGAGUUCCAAAGAUGCAAAGUAUUUUGUACCUUCCAUA